GAAAAGACAAACACUGAGUUUCCGUAUUCAACUUUAACUGUCCAUCUUAUAUGAAAUUAUUUUAUAAUUCGUAUUUUCAUUGUUGUUAGAUGAUAAAACAUGAUUAAUAUUUUAUGUGUGACUUGUCUUUUUAUUUUUUUUACAAUCUUUUCAAAUAAGACAGACAGUCAAACGUUGGACACGGAAACCAAUGUUUGUCUUUUUU
rfam:Oryza nivara chromosome 7, whole genome shotgun sequence.